AGCCUGGUGACCAAAAGAAAGUGUCAAUUCAAUUCACAGCCACCCAUCUGAAUGGAAAGUAUUUCAUAACAGAAGAGACUGCCGUCAUACAAAAUAUAAUUCAUGAGGAUUAUUUGGGCGGUGGAUGUUCUAACCUAAGUGCCUUCUAUCGGUUAAAUUUCUGCCUCCAGCUAAUCACGCACGGUUCUUCAUGUUCUUUUGAGCAUGCCAAACAAGGAGUUUGACCCCGGUACAUCUCAGCCUCUGUACAAGAUUUAGGAGGGCAAGGAAAAACUCAAAACUCCUACGAGGGGAAAUGAGAAACCUUUAGAAGAGACCACAGAUGGGAGGAUCCCUCUUCCAGGAUGACCAGGCUGCAAUGUAUGCAGAGAGGACACAGUACACGUAAUAUGGACAAUCCAAAGGUAAAGCAUAAAGGCACCAAAACCCCAUCUGCUCAGAAUCAUGACACAAUCGGACAACACCCAACCUCUGACUUUUCAUUGUAAAGAGUAUAAUUCUUGCAGGAACCAGUGAAGCUCUAGAAAAUGGGAACAGUUAUGUACUCCAUGCAGCCCUUCCAAUAAGAAAAAAAAUCAUGUCUGUCUGUCUGUCUGUCUGUAUGUACGCACGUAUGUAUGCAUGUAUGUAUAAAUAUGGAGUAAAACAAUGUUUUCUAUUUAUUAGACAUGGCAGCUAUUGAGGGAUAUGUCAACUAUUCUGACUGAGGAGGAAUAUUAAAAAAAAUAUUAUUCGCCAGACAGCCAAUCUAAAAACUCUGAGGCAUAAUGCCAUAAAAUACUUGCUUAUGAGAGCAGUUAAAACAUCAUCAAAACAAACACUUUAGUUUCACAUUCAGCACAACUACAUAAAUGCAUAUUGUGAAAAUUCAUCAUUUUUAGUUUCAUUUUACGAUUCAUAUCCUCUGGACUAAGUUAGAAUAAAGGAUACAGUAAUGUGUGAAAUACUUGAACACAAGGGGCAUUUUUUCUGUGGCUUUGCGUCAUAUUAAAGAAGCUGUAUCAUGCUUCUUUAACUUUUCCACAGUCAAUUAUAGACAAUAUUACCUCUGGGACAAUAGCAAUUAAAUUUCUGAUGAAACACAAGUUAUUUUGGUGGGGAUUUCUCUAACCUGGAAGCAAGACAGCUGGGUCACUAAAACCCCACCUACACUGUACUCACACAGGCUCGUCAUUACACUCGAAGUGUGUUCAGUGACCACUCAUAAAGUAGGACAUCUCAAAACUACAUGGAAAAAACUCAUUCAAUGCAUUCACACUGCAUACAUUUAACAAAUUAUUUGAUGCACCAAAAUCAAAACAGCCACAGCUGUUCUGAGAAACUGGGCGCGUGUUUAGCUAUGUCAAAGUACGGAUUCUUGAAUCGGGCGGGGCUAAUUCUGAUUGGAGGAAAACACCACUUUGGGAGUGUUUUGGGUGAGUAAAUAGCAUUUUAACAUGGAUAAGAGCAAAAAAAAAAUGAUUGCACAUGAUAUGGCAGUACUGUACCUGGCC